UACAGAGGGUGCGAGCGUUGUUCGGAAUUAUUGGGCGUAAAGGGCGCGUAGGCGGUGCGGUAAGUCACCUGUGAAAUCUCCUGGCUUAACUGGGAGCCUGCAGGCGAAACUACCGUGCUGGAGUGUGGGAGAGGUGCGUGGAAUUCCUGGUGUAGCGGUGAAAUGCGUAGAUAUCGGGAGGAACACCUGUGGCGAAAGCGGCGCACUGGACCAUAACUGACGCUGAGGCGCGAAAGCUAGGGGAGCAAACAGG
rnacentral:rRNA from 1 species